rnacentral:rRNA from 1 species
UGGGGAAUAUUGCACAAUGGGGGAAACCCUGAUGCAGCGACGCCGCGUGAACGAAGAAGGUAUUCGUAUCGUAAAGUGCUGUCCUAUGGGAAGAUAAUGACAGUACCAUAGAAGAAAGCUCCGGCUAAAUACGUGCCAGCAGCCGCGGUAAUACGUAUGGAGCGAGCGUUGUCCGGAAUUAUUGGGCGUAAAGGGUACGCAGGAGGUUUAAUAAGUCGAAUGUUAAAGAUCGGGGCUCAACCCCGCAAAGCAUUGGAAACUGAUAGACUUGAGUAGUGGAGAGGGAAGUGGAAUUCCUAGUGUAGUGGUGAAAUACGUAGAUAUUAGGAGGAAGACCAGUAGCGAAGGCGACUUUCUGGACACAAACAGACGCUGAGGUACGAAAGAGUGGGGAGCAAACAGG